UACGUAGGGCGCAAGCGUUGUCCGGAAUUAUUGGGCGUAAAGGGCGCGUAGGCGGAUUGUACAGUCAGGCGUGAAAUUCCCGGGCUCAACCUGGGGGCUGCGCUUGAGACGUGCGAUCUUGAGUGGGGAAGAGGGUCGUGGAAUUCCCAGUGUAGAGGUGAAAUUCGUAGAUAUUGGGAAGAACACCGGUGGCGAAGGCGGCGACCUGGUCCUUGACUGACGCUGAGGCGCGAAAGCGUGGGGAGCAAACAGG
rnacentral:rRNA from 1 species